rnacentral:rRNA from 1 species
UCUUGGUCAUUUAGAGGAAGUAAAAGUCGUAACAAGGUCUCCGUUGGUGAACCAGCGGAGGGAUCAUUACUGAGUUAUCAAAACUCCCAACCCUUUGUGAACCUUACCACUGUUGCCUCGGCGUCAGCUGCGGCUACCCUGGGGUGCUACCCUGGAGUGCACCUACCUGGUAGGUGCUACCUGGUAGUUACCCUGUAGCCCGCGUAUAGCGCGCCGGUGGACCAAUAAACUCUGUUUUUACCUGAGAAUCUCUGAAUGCUUCAACUAAAUUAGUUAAAACUUUCAACAACGGAUCUCUUGGUUCUGGCAUCGAUGAAGAACGCAGCGAAAUGCGAUAAGUAAUGUGAAUUGCAGAAUUCAGUGAAUCAUCGAAUCUUUGAACGCACAUUGCGCCCAUUAGUAUUCUAGUGGGCAUGCCUAUUCGAGCGUCAUUUCAACCCUUAAGCCUUAGUUGCUUAGCGUUGGGACUCUGAGCCUUUACGGCCUAGUUCCUUAAAGUUAGUGGCGGAGUUAUAGCACACUCUCAGCGUAGUAAUUUCUAUCUCGCUUUUGUGGUGGCUGUGGCGACUUGCCGUAAAACCCCUAAU